rnacentral:lncRNA from 1 species
GAGUUUAAUUUUCCUAAUUCCCUCUUCACUCUUCAAUCUUCAGUCAUCUGUCUCUCAGUUCUCAUUCUUGUUUCCCCCGCAGCCCCCAAGAGUCAAGACGCAAGACUCACCACCAGUUCUCCGCCAGACGGCAGUGCCUCACCAGUUCUCCGCCAGUUAUGACGGCUCACUCUCUUACUCAUCAAUCUGAUCGUGUAAGUUUGGGCUCAAGAUUUUUUUGUUUGCUUCUUGUUAAUUGUUUUUAUUUUUGCUAAUCUUCACAUUACCCAGUAAUAUAUAUCAGGCUAUCUUAUAUAUGUGAGUCUUGUAGUGGGCAUCUUGUAGUGUUAAGUUAUUUUUGAGAAUGAUUUUGUAGUAUUUGGUAUAUCAGAUUUUUUUUUUUUGAUUGGAUUUGUUCGGGAAGGUUGUAAAAC